ACGAGGUGUGCUAGCGUUGUUCGGAAUUACUGGGCAUAAAGGGUGCGUAGGCGGCGCGGAAAGUCAGUUGUGAAAUCCCUCGGCUUAACCGGGGAAUCGCUUCUGAAACUACCAUGCUUGAGGCCGGAAGAGGCAAGCGGAAUUCCAGGUGUAGCGGUGGAAUGCGUAGAUAUCUGGGAGAACGCCAAAGGCGAAGGCAGCUUGCUGGGCCGGUUCUGACGCUGAGGCACGAAAGCUAGGUGAGCAAACAG
rnacentral:rRNA from 1 species